rnacentral:lncRNA from 1 species
AGGAGUAUUAACAUGAGCCCGACAAGGCUUCUAAUAACAAACAAUCAUUUGGAAAUCAUGCUUGAAUCAAUCUUCAACUAGUUCAAAAGACAAUUAUAAGAUUUCAAAUUUACUUAAAACCUCUGUUCAGUAUAUAUAAUUGACAAAUGAAAUCCUAUAAGAUUAUCCAAUAAACAAAUAUGAAUCUAAACAUCAACUUCAAACUAAUCAUGCUUAAAAGUAUACCAUAAGUAAAUAAGUGUAUAGCUUGACUCUUAGAAUAACCUAUACCAUUUCCUUUUCUUUUGACAUGACUUUAUACUAACUACUACUUAAGAAACAAUCAGUUGCCCAUUGCAUGAACACAUCACUGUGUUAUAGCGUCCAAAUAAAUUGAAUAGCACUAAGAGAUCUAGUACAACAUACCCUAUUUAACAUAAUUGAACGCAGAAUCUAACUACUGAUUCGGCUAAUAGGUUUUCAUAAAGUUUUUGUGAUAGUUCAAGAUCAGAUACAAUAAUAAGAUUUCAAUUGUCACAAACCAACUUCUAUCUAUAAGGUGUUUAAUAGAAAAUGGAAUUCCCACUAUGUACAAACCAAAUACCAAGACACCAGCAAAAUACAGUGCAUCAAAUAAACUCAAAACCAUGAAACUCAAGAAAAAGAAGCUAAACUAUGAAUCGGAACGUGUUGAGGCUAUGCUUAAAACUCCAGAUUUUAUUUCACACUUCAAAUCAAGCCUCACAUGAGUUAGAAUUCAGAAACAUGUACCUGGAAUUCAAAAGAGAAACAAAAGGAAUGAAGAAUUAGCAAAAGCAGCAACAGAAUCAGCCUAACCCAGCAAUAGAACAGUACCCAAAACCAAGCAGCUCAAACCAAACUUUGAAACCCCAGAACUCAAACCAUUUUUACUCACGUGCAGGAAUUUGAAGCUUUUUCAAAAGUUCUAGCUAAUAAAGGGGAGCAGAAAAUCAAAACUAAACAGAAUUUUGAGCUAUUAUUUUGAAAAAAAUAUGGGAUUUCAAUGUUAUUUAAGAGUUUUCUCAAGACUCAAUCGUUUUAGUUUUUUCAGGAUUUUUAAUCUCUAAAAUCUGGCUUCUAAGUGAAGAAAGAAUGCAUUUAUAUGCAAGCUUUUAGGGAAGCAAGAAUGAGUUCAGUUUUUGCAUACAUCCUUUUAGAAUUUUCACUUUUGCUGCUAUAUCCUUAGUUUAAAGAUCAGGUUUUCAGUUUAGUCUCAAUCCCCAGCUUCUAGGAAGCUUCCCUAUUCAGUUACAAUAAUUCCCUCACCUAGAAUUCCUAGAUUAACCCUUAAAACCCUGCUAUUUUCUUCAGAAAUCCAAAUUGGUAAAUUUGACCCAAUGACUUAAACCAAAUUGAACGGGCUGCACUUUGCAAAUGGGUUAGAAAUAACCCAAAGCCCAAACUAUAAACUAACCCAGCUAAUUUCUAUAAACAUAUGGAACAACAGAAAAACACUGAAAUGAUUUCCACAAUAAAAAAUCUAAACUAAGUUACUGAUUAAUUAACACAAAUAGGCAGGGAAGUAACUAAGUUAUUAAAUCAAAACAAUCUAAUUAAAUAAAACUAGUGGACUAAAUCAAAAGGUGAAAUUAGAAGUUUAAACAUGCCAUAAACAAAACUAAACAGACCAAAAAAAUCAAAGAACAAGCUUUUACGAUUUGAAAAAGAAACAAAGGGAACAAAUGAACUGAAAACAAUUCAAACUCAAAAGAUUGGUCGAGUUUUCAGCCAGAGUAAAAAAAAUCUAACUAAAAAAAGGGAGAGGAAAAGAAGAUGAAUAAGAUAGUGAAACAAGAAAAAAGAGUCAAAGAGAUGAAGACACUUACCAAAUAAGAAAUAAAAAAAUCUAUUGGAGACCUUGAUUUAACGAGACUAAUGUUAAAUAUUUGUUCUUUGUCAAGAACAACUGAACAACGUCAGUUUGUAUCGAAUCAAAACUUCAAACUCGAAAGAAACAAGAGCCUAUGGUCAUGCAUGCCAUCGGGUUCAACGGAAAUGGAUUUUGGACUUUUAGGGUUCGACGUAGAUUUAAAUUCAAGGAGUUUCAAGAUGAUUCGAGGGGAAACAAUUAGAGAUUUAGGAUGGGGAGGUGAAGGGGAGUCUGUGGUGUAGUUUUGGAGGUGAUUAAAAGCGACGUUGGCUUGAGGUAGUGGAGAAAUGGGGCAGCGCUAGGGUUUAAAGGGUGUCUUUGAAGAUGGAUGAGAUGAAGGAUAUGAGUUAGGGGUAGGGGCA